AGCCGGACCCCCUGCCCCAGGCUCUCAGCAGGACAGCCGGACCCCUGCCCCAGGCUCUCAGCUGGACAGCCAGACCCGCCCCAGGCUCUCAGCUGGCGGUCAAGGUCUCCUGCUUUACUGAUAAACUUGUCUCCAGGGACCCACACCCCCUGCCCAAGGGCUCUUGAUCCUGGGCAGACUUAGAAGCAGUGCAGGGCCUCAGUGUGGGCCCUGAGCCUCGGGCUCUAAAGGGUGAAUGGCACGUUCACACCAUCGUCUUUCCUGGAAACGACAGCGCCUGCCAUUCAGGACAUUACCCAGCCCCCGGCCUGAUAGCCCAUGACUCUCCGGUUCAUAACACAAAAUCACACUUUUCAUCAAGAAGCUUGUAUUCUCCAGAUAAUUCAAGAAUCCACACAGCAAAUCCAGCACAGACUGUUUGCUUCCCAACACCCAGACACAUGUGCCUGCAAAUUCCUGAUGUUACGAAGACCUGCCCCGGAGAGGGGAGGCAUCGCCCCAGGUAACCCCAGGCCACAACCCACAUCCCACACCCCAGACGACCCCGGGACAUCGACAGUCCACACCCUAGACAACCCCGAGGCACUGAAAACCCACACCCACACCCGAAAUAACCCUGGGACACUGACAACCCACACCCCAGACAAUCCCAGACAACCCCGGGACACUGACAACCCACUCCCCAAAUAACCCUAGGCAACCCCAGUAUGCUGACAACCCACACCCCAGACAACUCCAGGAGACUGACAACCCACACCCCAGCUGACCCCGCAUCCUGGCUGUGAUGGGGCUGCCAUCCACACCGCCUGCUCCAAGGGCUCUGCUGCUCCGGGUUGGACCUGCACGGUUCUGGGUCACUGCAGGACUUGGGACAAGUGACUCAGUUCCCCAUUGAGCAGGACAGCAUCCCAGCCGCCCUGGGUUACUGUGAUAUCAGGAGUCAGUGGCCAACGUUUCCUGAGCCCUCUUUCUGAGGCCAGACGCCAGCAUGGAGGCUGCAGCGAGUCCCUUCCCUCAUCUGCACGAGGCUUGGGGACCCCAUGGCCACCUGGCCCAGGCCAGCAAAGACAAUCGCCGGAUGUCUGAGUACCCCCUCUCCUUCCAAAACAAACAGAAAACCCGUCCACAGCAUCUGUCGACCAAAAGAAGAACCGCCAGAGUCCAGGGAAGCAGCUUGCCGGGAACCUGCCAGGUUUGCAUCGAAUUCCCCGAGUUCCGGAAACCCCGUCCGUCCCAGGCAAACAGGCACCGUGGGUCACCCUUCCGGGACCCACAUUCGCGCCAGGCCUAGGUGGAGGCCUUGGCCCUGGGAAGGAAGGCUGACCAGAAGCCUCGGCA
rnacentral:lncRNA from 10 species